rnacentral:misc_RNA from 1 species
AGUUAAACCGACUGCUGUUGUCAACUGAUUCAUAACGACACAUAAUGAUUGAACAACAAAUAUCAAUCACUGUCUCAACUUUCACGUGAUCAAAACAAAGAUAUCUUCAAACAAGAAGCAAAUUCGGUACGCAGAGUUUUCCAAAUCUGACAUGGAAAGGCGAGCAAGCAAAGGAUCCAUCUGGUUGUUCAACUACUACAACAUCAAUGGCUCCGGUCCAAAUAAGGCUUCUAAACAGGGACCGAAGGUCCUCUGCAAAGUGUGGUUUGCAACAGGGCUUUGAAGAUGAGCAUUUACAGCCUCUAGGAGAGGGCUGAAGAAGUGAUGUUCCUUCAAAGUAGUAACGGGAGGUCCAACGCUACCGUCACCUCUCUUAAAGUCCAGUUUUUCGAGUACCACUUCACACUUCAAUAGCGUAUCGAGGGGCAUUCUUUUACUCGGAUUUGAUAAUAUCUCCAAGAGUUUUUUCAUUUUACUUAAUUUGUCGACGUCUGGAAUAAAAGAUUGUAUUUAAACAAUUAUA